GACGAACGCUGGCGGCGUGCUUAACACAUGCAAGUCGAACGAGAAGAGAUGAGAAGCUUGCUUCUUAUCGAUUCGAGUGGCAAACGGGUGAGUAACGCGUAAGCAACCUGCCCUUCAGAUGGGGACAACAGCUGGAAACGGCUGCUAAUACCGAAUACGUUCUUUUUGUCGCAUGGCAGAGGGAAGAAAGGGAGGCUCUUCGGAGCUUUCGCUGAAGGAGGGGCUUGCGUCUGAUUAGCUAGUUGGUGAGGUAACGGCCCACCAAGGCGACGAUCAGUAGCCGGACUGAGAGGGUGAUCGGCCACAUUGGAACUGAGAUACGGUCCAGACUCCUACGGAGGCAGCAGUGGGGAAUCUUCCGCAAUGGGCGAAAGCCUGACGGAGCAACGCCGCGUGAGUGAUGACGGCCU
rnacentral:rRNA from 1 species